rnacentral:lncRNA from 1 species
UAUGAGGCAAUAAAAAGGUAUCAACUCUUCAAUCCUAACGAGUUAUAAUGGCGCGCGCACCCGGGAACAACUUUGUGAACCCUUUGUUAGACAGAGAAGUCAUUUUAGUAUUAAUUCAAGUCUUGAUAUUUGGUCCUGAUAACAACAAGAAAAUAAGAGGGGAAUAGAAAGGUUACCUAGAUAGAAGAUACAUGGACCUAGUUCAUCUACAUCAUUAGUACAAAAGAGAAGUAGAG